GAUGAACGCUGGCGGCGUGCCUAAUACAUGCAAGUCGAGCGAACGGACGAGAAGCUUGCUUCUCUGAUGUUAGCGGCGGACGGGUGAGUAACACGUGGAUAACCUACCUAUAAGACUGGGAUAACUUCGGGAAACCGGAGCUAAUACCGGAUAAUAUUUUGAACCGCAUGGUUCAAAAGUGAAAGACGGUCUUGCUGUCACUUAUAGAUGGAUCCGCGCUGCAUUAGCUAGUUGGUAAGGUAACGGCUUACCAAGGCAACGAUGCAUAGCCGACCUGAGAGGGUGAUCGGCCACACUGGAACUGAGACACGGUCCAGACACCUACGGGAGGCAGCAGUAGGGAAUCUUGCGCAAUGGGCGAAAGCCUGACGGAGGAACGCCGCGUGAGUGAUGAAGGUCUUCGGAUCGUAGAACUCUGUUAUUAGGGAAGAACAUAUGUGUAAGUAACUGUGCACAUCUUGACGGUAACUAAUCAGAAAGCCACGGCUAACUACGUG
rnacentral:rRNA from 1 species